GGCUGUCAGUGCUUCCACUGCAUGCAGUUAUUUGCGGAGGGCCUUCAAGCUGUCGUUUUGGCGAUUGAUGGGCCCCCGAUGGCAUCCUACUAACUCGGUAGCUCAGAAAAGAGGGGAGAUGGACUGCCAGACUGACCCGAAUAAAGAAACCUGCCCUGAGCUGACUUUACUUCUUCUCUGAAGGAUGGCUGCUCAUUCAGAUCUAACAGCGAAUGUUUAAAGAAAGCCAAAAUGCCACCAGAAAGGAGAGAAUAUGAAGGCAAUAAAAGUGCCGUGCUAGGCCUGGCGGAACUGCAAAUACAUCAAGGGUUCAUUCUCCUCUGUUUGCCAUUAUUCACAUUUGGCAGCCACGGAAUGUCACACCUGAGCUAUUGGGGCUCCCACUCUCAAGAUAUAUGGCCAGAGUAUUUCAUAUUUGAAGUUAUUUACCCUGUCGUUUGUUUUCAUUUUUACUGAUGUGGGUCAUUUGACAGUUUGGAGUAGUUUCAAAGCUUUCUCAAAUAAACACCUAUAUGUUAUUGUGUCAGAAGCAAGGAGAUGGAGACCAUUUUCCUUUGCCAUUAAGGUAAAAUAGUCAAGAUAUAUGGAGAAAAUAUGCAAAAA